AUUGAACGAUGGCGGCAGGCCUAACACAUGCAAGUCGAACGAGUGGCGGACGGGUGAGUAAUGUCUGGGAACAUGCCUGAUGGAGGGGGAUAACUACUGGAAACGGUAGCUAAUACCGCAUACCAUCAGAUGUGCCCAGAUGGGAUUAGCUAGUAGGUGGGGUAACGGCUCACCAAGGCGACGAUCCCUAGCUGGUCUGAGAGGAUGACCAGCCACACUGGAACUGAGACACGGUCCAGACGCCGACGGGAGGCAGCAGGGGGGAAUAUUGCAAAAUGGGCGCAAGCCGGAUGCAGCCAUGCCGCGUGUAUGAAGAAGGCCUUCGGGUUGUAAAGUACUUUCAGCGGGGAGGCGUUACCCGCAGAAGAAGCACCGGCUAACUCCGUGCAAGCAGCCGCGGUAAUUC
rnacentral:rRNA from 1 species